rnacentral:piRNA from 1 species
UCGUGUCACUAUUGGAUCAAU